rnacentral:rRNA from 1 species
GAUGAACGCUAGCGGCAGGCCUAAUACAUGCAAGUCGAACGAGAUUAAGAGGCUUGCUUCUUAUGAAAGUGGCGCACGGGUGCGUAACGCGUAUGCAACCUACCUUAAUCAGGGGGAUAGCCCGAAGAAAUUCGGAUUAAGACCGCAUAAAAACACAGGAUAGCAUUAUCCAAUGUUCAAAUAAUUAUAGGAUUAAGAUGGGCAUGCGUGUCAUUAGCUAGUUGGCGGGGUAACGGCCCACCAAGGCGACGAUGACUAGGGGAUCUGAGAGGAUGACCCCCCACACUGGUACUGAGACACGGACCAGACUCCUACGGGAGGCAGCAGUAAGGAAUAUUGAUCAAUGGAGGGAACUCUGAACCAGCCAUGCCGCGUGCAGGAAGACAGCCCUCUGGGUCGUAAACUGCUUUUAUUCGGGAAUAAACCUUUCUACGUGUAGGAAGCUGAAUGUACCGAAGGAAUAAGGAUCGGCUAACUCCGUG